UGGUAAGACCAAGGUUCUAUAAAUCUGAAGUCAGAGUGUCAGCGGGCGUGUUCCAGCUACAUGGACUGUGUGAUCUUGUAAAAGCUUUCGUCUCUGUCCACAACAGAGACCCAGCAAGGGCUGCAGAAGCAUGUUCCAGAUUCAAGCACCACCAGGCCCCACUUGGGUCAGGCAGGUGAGGGAAGCAGGCUGACUCGUGGGAAGCAGACACAAAUCGCAUGUUCUGUGAGGGCAGGAAGUGACGAACUAUUGCCAAGUCAUUGGUGCCAAAGGAUUAAAGAUCCCAGACUGCCAGACUUUCUGGUUACACAAAGAAACCAGAAAUCUAGGUUUAUGAAAAACUUCCUGAUCUUUAAGAGCUGGCAACCAGUACGAAACCAGUACAAAACUUGUCAGAACACUACGAUGGCCAAAACAAUACAUCUGCAGGCCCAAGAGAGGCCACCAGCCUCCAGUCUGCAGCUGUAAUAAAGUGGAAAGAGCAUGGAUUUUGUAAUCAACUAAA